UGAGACGUACAAGAAACUUCAUGAUAUCCUGCUUGCAAAGGGCCUUCUCAAGGACAUUCCCCAGCUGUCAUCUGCACAGCAAACUUUCUGCUUGGAGACCUUCCAUGCCGUGCUCAUCCACUUUGCCCCAAAAGCAUACAGCUUCUCGGACAAAGGAAUGAUUGCUAGGACGGCUCUGGCUGCACUGCAUUACAAUGCAAAUGCAGAUCGUGUUGCACGCUCGGAGGACGGUGCUGUAAAACAUCGUCUGAAAGCCUCCAAGGUCCGAAAGACAUGGAUUGCGGUUCCUGUUAAAGAAGAUGCCUCAUACGCCUACACGGAGGCUCUGAAGACAGCGGUCUACGAGCGCAUUUCUCUCU